GAAAUAUGUAUUUCACAAAUAUAUUACACAUUAAUAUUUGACUAGUGUUCUCACAACACAUUCUGUCAGCAUAGUCUGUCUGUGUCUUUUCUCUGCACAUUUUAACUGAAAUAACGGGGUAGGGACUUUGUAUAUUGCAACUGUGUAACUCACCUGGGACAAUCAUGUAGUGUUUGCAAGGAACACCAGGAGCCAAUACAGGUAAUUGAUAAGCACAGCUGGAGAGCAUUGCUAGUUAUAUACAGUCUAUAUAAGCUUGGUGAGUAAAGCAAACCUUUGGGGGUUUAUGAGGAGAUAGUAGUUAGACAGUGAAUUUACAGUGGUUAGAAAGCAAUUAUAGCCAGGGCGAUUGAGAAGAGCUUGUGAGAGUGAGUGGAUUUUAGAAAGUGAGUGACUGAGGUGUGUCAGUUGGUUUGCUUCGUGUGUUUUUGAGUCUGUGUGUUUGUGGUACAGUGGAGUAGGUAAGUUAUCAGGUGUGAUAGAUAAAUGGACAGGUGUAGGUGGGGGAAAUGGAGCCCAAAAUUGUGAGGGAGCAUCUGGAGUUCAAACUCCACAAUCGCUAUCCUGAAGGAUCAAGAAGCAGAGAAAGACUUACAAUCAAGAGAAGAGCUGAGACCUUCAGGAUAAAUGAUGGAGACCUGUAUUAUAUAUGCAGGAAGAAGAAAAAUAAAACUGAGCACUUGGAGAAAGUGGUCUGCUCUGCCAAAGAGGCAAGUGAAAUGUUUGAGGAAUUUCAUUACAGCCACUUUGGUGGGCACUGUGGGUGGAAGAAGACUCGGGCUAUCAUGGCACACUAUUACUGGGCUGGCAUGGAGGCGGACAUUCAAAAAUGUUGCCCUUUCAGCUUGUUGGGAUGGAUCUUGUGGGUAAACUAACCUUAACAAAUGGUAGUAAUCAAUAUAUUUGUGUCAUGGUUGAUUAUUUCACCAAAUGGACAGAGGCCUACCCACUAAAAAGUAAAACAGCAGAUGAGGUCACCAGUGUAUUCUUGAUUUCUUUUACAGACUGCUAACAGACCAGGGCUCAGAGUUUUUCCACAAGGUCAACUAUGGCCUGUGUGAAACUCUGGGCAUCAAAAGAAGCCUCUGCUCACCAUGUCAUCCACAAACAAAUGGCCUUGUGGAAAAAUUAAAUGGCACAAUCCAGAGCCAAAGAGCUGGGACAAAUUUCUGCAGUGGACUAUGUUCGGACUCAGAACAAAAAAGCAGAUUACAGAAGAAAGGGUCUGUACCAUCAAUUCCAAUUAAGUUUGUGAGGGCCUAAAAUCCCAGGAGGUGGUGUACGCUGAAGUGACCAAAAAUGCCAAAAGCAGCCAAGAAAAGAUCCGCAGGAGAAAAGCAAAAAGGGGAGAGGAGGAUUGUUUUCAGGCGGGAGACCUUGGUUUGUGGAAAAAUAUAAGGCAAGAGCAGAGGAAAGGUGGCAAACUGGAUUUGGAUAUGCUGGGACCCUUUAAAAUUAUGAAGCCGGAAGGCAGAAAUGAUCACUUGGUGUUAGAGAAGGGAAAGAGGACUCUCAAGAUUAACACAGACCAAUUGACACACUACUUCCAGCCUAAAGAAGAGGGUCCAAGCAAAACUGAAGGAUUGUUUGCUGCUUGUGAGGGGCCAUCAGCACCACCAGUGUCACCACCUUCCUGUUAGGGGAAAUCACUGGUGCAGUCUUGCUGUGACCCAGAAAAUGAGGAGUAAGCAGACAGUGAACAACUAAGACUUUUGAAUAAUGAUAUCCUCACAGUAAUAAGAACAAUUUGGGCUGGAGAAAAAAACAAAGGUGCUGAGGUCAAAGAUUGGGCCAUAUAAGUUAUUUUCUGAAAAUGUUGACUUGGCCCCUGGGAAAGAGUUGGAAAGUGAGGUAUGUAAACUUUUUCCAAAUUAGUGGUCACCUUAUUGGAAGGGAUUGAGGGUGUAAUGUUUGCGCCUAUUUGACGAUGGUGGGGCGAAGAAAUGCUGCAUUAAUUAUGGACUCAUAUUUAAUGAGUUAAUCAGUUUGGCAGGGGUCCACAAAAGGUCUCAGAAAGAUGAGUUGGCUUUGAAACUUAAACUUUAUAAUUUAACACUAUUCAUAAUUUAAUUUCAAGAUCUUCACUUUGUAGCUGGAUCUGCUAAAGUAUGAUGUGGCAGUUGGGGCAGCCUGCGACAACAGACACUGGACACUCAUUAUGACCUUUCCCAGCUAUGCCGUGCAUGUGGUGAGAGAAGCUCUGGUGCAGAAACCGAUGAAUGGGUAAGAUAACCAAAUCAAUACCUAAGAUGGAAGCACCUUGAAUGGGUUACUUUAACAUCACUGGGUGAAAUGUCACUUUGAUGCACUAACAGAAAACUUAUAGUUCAGGUAACCUGCAUGCCUUUGCACUUUAAAGACAGUGGAAAACAUCGAGCGAUCCAC